AUGCAGGAGCCGCUGCGGGCCAUGGACGCUGCUGAGGUGGACCACGAUUAUAACGUCCGGCUUCUGAGCGCGGAGAGCUUGGAGCGCCACCGGGCGGCCGCGUGCCCGAACUGCGCCUGUUGGACCGACGCCGUCCCGCAGAAGACGUUCAACGAGGCCCUGAAGCGCUUGUUCGUCUUCAUCCUCAUCCUGUCUGUUCUCAGCAACCUUUUAUUAGAGGAGAAUUCAGCCUGGCUUCUUUAUCCUAUAGUGACCGACUGGAAGAUGAGCGUCCUCAUUGUGGUGUUUGUUGCCGUCAUUUACCUCAUCGCGGUCCUGAGGAAGCAGAGGGAGCGCAGCGGCUCAGCUUUGCAGAGAGAAGAGGAGGUGCCAACGAUCUCGGCUUCCAUCCAGCAGGUUUAA
rnacentral:lncRNA from 1 species